rnacentral:rRNA from 1 species
UUACUGAGUCUAGAACUCACCAAACCCACUGUGAACAUACCACUGUUGCCUCGGCGGGAUCGCCCUGGAGCUCCGCGCGCCAGAAUCAGGCCCUCGCCGCAGGACCCAAAACUCUGUAUCUUGCAAGUAUUUUCUGAGUUUGGCCUUAGGGCAAAAAUAAGUCAAAACUUUCAACAACGGAUCUCUUGGCUCUGGCAUCGAUGAAGAACGCAGCGAAAUGCGAUAAGUAAUGUGAAUUGCAGAAUCCAGUGAAUCAUCGAAUCUUUGAACGCACAUUGCGCCCGCCAGUAUUCUGGCGGGCAUGCCUGUCCGAGCGUCAUUUCAACCCCUCAGGCCCCUGGGCCUGGUGUUGGGGAUCAGCGCAGGUUCGCCCGCUGGCCCUGAAAUACAGUGGCGGUCUCGCCGCGUUUCUCCGGUGCGUAGUAGCAACACGUCGCACCCGAGGCCGCGCCUGGCCACGCCGUAAAACCCCCUAUAUUUUUUUGGUUGACCUCGGAUCAGGUAGGGAUACCCGCUGAACUUAAGCAUAUCAAUAAGCGGAGGAAAAGAAACCAACAGGGAUUGCCCUAGUAACGGCGAGUGAAGCGGCAACAGCUCAAAUUUGAAAUCUGGCCCUCGGGUCCGAGUUGUAAUUUGCAGAGGAUGCUUUUGGUGAGGUGCCUUCCGAGUUCCCUGGAACGGGACGCCAUAGAGGGUGAGAGCCCCGUCUGGUUGGACGCCGAGCCUCUGUAAAGCUCCUUCGACGAGUCGAGUAGUUUGGGAAUGCUGCUCAAAACGGGAGGUAUAUGUCUUCUAAAGCUAAAUACCGGCCAGAGACCGAUAGCGCACAAGUAGAGUGAUCGAAAGAUGAAAAGCACUUUGAAAAGAGGGUUAAAUAGUACGUGAAAUUGUUGAAAGGGAAGCACUUAUGACCGGACCUGGGCUUGGUUGAUCAUCCGGCGUUCUCGCCGGUGCACUCUGCCGGUUCAGGCCAGCAUCAGUUCGUUCCGGGGGACAAAGGCGGCGGGAACGUGGCUCCCUCGGGAGUGUUAUAGCCCGUCGUGCAAUA